CCGAAACUCCCAUCAAGCCCGUGACAACCACCGCGACGUCCCGAUAGGCACUCAUUACCCCGAAUGCCGAUCGAAACCUCGCAAGGCUUAGCAUCAGUUUCUGCAUCUCCCCAGUGAGCGACAAUUAUUAAAUCUCACAUUUAAAAAAAAAUCAUAAGUCAUUUCCAAAUCAAAACAAUAAAAUAUUACUUUCUGGCUCACAAGGGCAUUUUCGUUAUUUUUCUUUGAAAAUACCGAAACUCGCCAAAAACAUAGUGUAAAAGCUAAAUAUAUUCAUACAUACUUUAAAUCAAAUAACUGAAGAAUAAAAUUACUUUUACAGUGACACGUGGGCCCUCAACUGACUAAGAAGAUGUAGGGCUACGAACCCUUACUUUCUAAGAUGCAACUCCGAGAUUAAUUCUCGUCUUAAUCAACUAUUAACAAACUGUCCUAAGCCUGAAAAAUGGAUAGGAAGAGGGGUGAGAUUAUGAUUACAUAAUCCCAAUGAGUAAACAAUUACCAUCAAAAGCAUCUAAAGCCGAGUAGAUGGAGACAAUAUAAAAACGUUAUAUCUCAAUAAUGUUCAUAACACAAAUUUCGUUUCAAUCUAUACCAAACAAUUUAUUUUCAUCA
rnacentral:lncRNA from 1 species